UGAGAGCACGUGUAUGUUUACAGUUGAGUAAUUAUAAAUAAAUUAAGAGGUUUGUAACACGUAAUGUUUGUGUAAUUAACAAGAGUUGUGAAGGAGGUAGCCAUGGGAACGCAAACGUGACUUGGAAGUGAAUACCUACAGUGUCAGUUUCAACUCCGCCAGCUCCACGACGGAGCAUACUAAUGUGCAGAACACUGCUGUCGUCACACGAAUUACUCACGAGUUGCUUCAGCGUGUGAACUCCAAGUGCGACUGUUCAGACGCCUGGCUGCGUGCUACGUCUCAUGCGAUCGGCUAUGUCAGUAGAAGAGCGGCGUAAGACUUCAACAUCAUUACACGAAAGAGAUUUUGACCUACAGGGACACCGUAGAAAGCCAGUAGCAUGAUAGUUACCUCACCAUUCCAUUGGCGCGCUGUCACCUAGCAACGAC